rnacentral:rRNA from 1 species
UCCAAUCGAACCCGGAGAUAGCUGGUUCUCCCCGAAAUAGCUUUAGGGCUAGCGUCGAGAGAAGAGUUGCGUGAAGGUAGAGCACUGAAUAUGUGAUGGCCCCAUCUCGGGGUACUGAGCAUAAUCAAACUGCGAAUGUCACGCCAACAUGCUCGGCAGUCAGACAGCGGGUGAUAAGGUCCGUUGUCAAGAGGGAAACAGCCCAGACCAUCAGCUAAGGUCCCAAAAUGUAUGCUAAGUGGAAAAGGAUGUGGAGAUGUACAGACAACUAGGAGGUUGGCUCAGAAGCAGCCAUCCUUUAAAGAGUGCGUAACAGCUCACUAGUCGAAUGACUCUGCGCCGAUAAUUUACCGGGGCUAAGCAUACUACCGAAGCUAUGGAUCCCAAGGGAUGGUAGGGGAGCGUUCCAUGAACGGAGAAGUACGACCGAAAGGACGUGUGGAGAUCAUGGAAGAGAGAAUGCCGGUGUGAGUAGCGGAACGUGGGUGAGAAUCCCACGCACCGAAAACCCAAGGUUUCCAGAGGAAGGUUCGUCCGCUCUGGGUAAGUCGGGACCUAAGGCGAGGCCGAAAGGCGUAGUCGAUGGACAACAGGUAGAGAUUCCUGUACCCGUAUAUAUGUGAAGGAAUGACGGAGAGAGGAAGCUGCAGCCAGCGGCUGGAAGAGCUGGUGCAAGCGAGAUAUCGGGAUGGCAGGCAAAUCCACCAUCCGAAACGAGAAGGCGUGAAGCGUACGGAAAGCUACGGCGAGUACGGAAGGCAGUGGAGGAACUUCCAAGAAAAGUUUCUAACGUUAAGUAUAUAUGGCCCGUACCGAAAAUGGACACACAUGGGUGAGGAGAGAAUCCUAAGGUGAGCGAGAGAACUAUAGCUAAGGAACUCUGCAAAAUGACUCCGUAACUUAGGGAGAAGGAGUGCUCAUAGAGAUAUGAGCCGCAGUGAAACGGCCCAAGCGACUGUUUACCAAAAACACAGCUCUCUGCUAAGCCGCAAGGCGAAGUAUAGGGGGUGACGCCUGCCCGGUGCUGGAAGGUUAAGGGGAGGGGUUAACGCAAGUGAAGCCCUGAACUGAAGCCCCAGUAAACGGCGGCCGUAACUAUAACGGUCCUAAGGUAGCGAAAUUCCUUGUCAGGUAAGUUCUGACCCGCACGAAAGGCGUAACGAUUUGGGCGCUGUCUCAGCUGUAGACUCGGUGAAGUCUUAGUACCUGUGAAGAUGCAGGUUACCCGCGACUAGACGGAAAGACCCCAUGGAGCUUCACUGCAGGUUGAUAUUGGGAUUUGAUGCAGCAUGUACAGGAUAGGUAGGAGGCAAAGAGAUGGAUACGCCAGUAUUCAAGGAGCCGCUGUUGGGAUACUACCCCUGUUGUAUUGGAUUUCUAACCGGACGACGUAGAGCCGUUGACGGGACAGUGUCAGUCGGGCAGUUUGACUGGGGCGGUCGCCUCCCAAAGAGUAACGGAGGCGCCCAAAGAUACCCUCAGCUUGGAUGGAAACCAAGCGCAGAGUGCAAAGGCAAAAGGGUGUUUGACUGCGAGACCUACAAGUCGAGCAGGGACGAAAGUCGGGCUUAGUGAUCCGGCGGUGCUGAAUGGAAAGGCCGUCGCUCAACGGAUAAAAGCUACCCUGGGGAUAACAGGCUGAUCUCCCCCAA